GGGCCCGCACAAGCAGUGGAGUAUGUGGUUUAAUUCGAAGCAACGCGAAGAACCUUACCAGGGCUUGACAUACAGAUGAAUAGAGUAGAGAUAUUCUAGUUCUUCGGAACAUCUGUACAGGUGGUGCAUGGUUGUCGUCAGCUCGUGUCGUGAGAUGUUGGGUUAAGUCCCGCAACGAGCGCAACCCCUGUUGUUAGUUGCCAUCAUUAAGUUGGGCACUCUAGCGAGACUGCCGGUGACAAAUCGGAGGAAGGUGGGGACGACGUCAAAUCAUCAUGCCCCUUAUGUCCUGGGCUACACACGUACUACAAUGGCUAUUACAGAAGGAAGCGAAACCGUAAGGUGGAGCCAAACCUCAAAAAUAGUCCCAGUUCAGAUUGUGGGCUGAAACUCGCCCACAUGAAGUCGGAAUUGCUAGUAAUGGCAGGUCAGCAUACUGCCGUGAAUACGUUCCCGGGCCUU
rnacentral:rRNA from 1 species